rnacentral:hammerhead_ribozyme from 1 species
AUCUAGCUGACGAGUUUCAAAUAGGACGAAACGCGCGUGCUGGAC